rnacentral:rRNA from 1 species
UACAGAGGGUGCAAGCGUUAUUCGGAAUUACUGGGCGUAAAGAGCGCGUAGGCGGCUCGAUAAGUCUGAUGUGAAAUCCCUGGACUCAAUUCAGGAAGUGCAUUGGAUACUGUCGAGCUAGAGUGAAGGAGAGGAAAGCGGAAUUCCCGGUGUAGCGGUGAAAUGCGCAGAUAUCAGGAAGAACACCUAUGGCGAAGGCAGCUCUCUGGGACGGUACUGACGCUGAGACGCGAAAGCGUGGGGAGCGAACAGG